rnacentral:rRNA from 1 species
GACAAACGCUGGCGGCGUGCUUAACACAUGCAAGUCGAACGGUGAAGCGCCUUCCUUUUUGGUGGGUGUGGAUGAGUGGCGAACGGGUGAGUAACACGUGAGUAACCUGCCCCCUUCUUCUGGAUAACCGCAUGAAAGUGUGGCUAAUACGGGAUAUUCUGGGUCUGUCGCAUGAUGGGUCUGGGAAAGAUAUUGUUUCGGUGGGGGAUGGGCUCGCGGCCUAUCAGCUUGUUGGUGGGGUGAUGGCCUACCAAGGCGGUGACGGGUAGCCGGCCUGAGAGGGUGGACGGUCACACUGGGACUGAGACACGGCCCAGACUCCUACGGGAGGCAGCAGUGGGGAAUAUUGCACAAUGGGCGCAAGCCUGAUGCAGCGACGCCGCGUGAGGGAUGGAGGCCUUCGGGUUGUGAACCUCUUUCGCCAGUGAAGCAGGCCUGCCUCGUUUGUGGGUGGGUUGACGGUAGCUGGAGAAGAAGCGCCGGCUAACUACGUG